GUGGGGAAUAUUGGACAAUGGGCGAAAGCCUGAUCCAGCCAUGCCGCGUGUGUGAAGAAGGUCUUCGGAUUGUAAAGCACUUUAAGUUGGGAGGAAGGGCAGUAAGUUAAUACCUUGCUGUUUUGACGUUACCGACAGAAUAAGCACCGGCUAACUUCGUGCCAGCAGCCGCGGUAAUACGAAGGGUGCAAGCGUUAAUCGGAAUUACUGGGCGUAAAGCGCGCGUAGGUGGCUGUGUAAGUUGGAGGUGAAAUCCCCGGGCUCAACCGGGGAACUGCCUCCAAAACUGCAUGACUAGAGUACGGUAGAGGGUAGUGGAAUUUCCUGUGUAGCGGUGAAAUGCGUAGAUAUAGGAAGGAACACCAGUGGCGAAGGCGACUACCUGGACUGAUACUGACACUGAGGUGCGAAAGCGUGGGGAGCAAACAGGAUUAGAUACCCCUGUAGUCC
rnacentral:rRNA from 1 species